GUAAAUGUGUUAUCAUAGUUUCAUAAUUUAAAAAAGAAAAAAGAAAGAAUAUUCAAAGAUUAUAGAAGUGGCUUCAUAAAUUAAUGAUAAACAUCUUACACAGUUACCUAAAAAUAAUUGAGAACGGAAGUUCGUCUAACUUGCAGGUAUUCAAAGAGGGGACUAUAUGACCACGUUCAAGUCCCAGUGAGACUGGACAGCUUGGGCAAGCAGGGAAAGAAGGCCUGUCGUGUUGUCCUUCAUCCAUCUCUGUGUGCCUGUUUUCAGGGCCCCAAGACAGUAAAGAGGAACCAAUCAAUUCUAGAGUGAAAUUCUGUAAAACUUCAAUUUAGGCCAUCAUGUCCCAGCAAAAGCAGAUGAUAUUGAGCAAAUCAAACAUCUGCUUUGGGGGGAUUCAGAGGAAGCAGGUUCAAAUUCAGACAGAACAGAAUAACCUGAUUUGAAAACACUUUCCCUGUAACCCACUCUCCUUUGACAGAUACAGUAGAUCAGCUGUCACCUGACUCAGCACUGCCUGUGUCUCUUGUCUGAAUGGGGUUAAAUUUGAAAUUCUGCAGUGUUUUCAAUCCAGUGAUAUUUAUUUUAAACUUCAAUGAAGCAAAAAGCAGACAAAAACUGAUCACCUAUAAAUAAAAAUCCCCCAUUAAUCUGGCAUCAUCACCAGAUCAAGAAACAGGUUGUUGUGUUCGGAGGUAUAUUUUCAUACCACAGGAUGGUUUUCCUGAUUGGAAAACUUUGAGUUGAAUUCAGCCUUGCAAAUAUGGACAGUCCCAAGUCUGAUUUUACAGUCUGCUUAACAGUACUGAAUCCUGUUUUGUCCAGGUAUAUUGUUCUGAGCAAGUACACUGGUUAUAAUAUUAUGGACAGAUCACUAAUGCAUUAUAUGGUGUGGUACAUUAUUUAUGUUUUUAUAAUUUGUUUAUCAUUUCUGCAAUGGGGUUGUUUCACAUUUUUAAGCUUUUCAGAGGUGUGCAGUCUCAGUUUUUGUAAUGUGUUCAGACUCCCCCUUCCUCUUUGACAUUCAAGGCAGUAACCCUGAGUUAACUGAAGACUCCUUCAACUGAAAUUCCAUUUAAGAACACUCUAUAAGUACAGCUUAGCAAGGAAUAUAUGUUCCCUGGCCUUUGACAUAGAACCACCUUAGAAAUAAAUGCAGCUAUAAAUCUUGCCAGCAUAUUUCUUUCUGCCUAAGUGCUCUGUGAAGAACCCCCAUUUCUCUCAUCAGGGUUUGAUCUCUGCAUCCUCAGAAACCAAUUAAUAUCUGCCCUCCCCAUUCUGUAACUUUGGUUGGACUUAAAGAGUGGAAUGAACAUCCACAUGGCUAGGAUGUCUACUAGUUCAUGGCAUCAAAGGAACAUAUACUUCAUUCCCUUGAGUCCUGAAAACUAUGUCAACUUUUAUAAUGAAAUCUGGCACCACACCGUCUGGCCAGGUCUGUGCAACAGAAGAGUGUUUCUAAGUCGGGUCAGUCAGAAAAGUGUUUGUCGAGCACUGCUCCCCUGAGUCUGCCCUAAACUGACUAGGAAUGGGGGAGAGAAGCAGGCAGUACCCUCGGGGACCUCAGAUCUAACAGAGGACUUGCAGGUAAGCAAUUUCAAUUCAUGGUGACGGGGGCUCUUAGGAGAAGUAGCAGGAGGGAGUGUGGAGAGCAUCACCCAGGGGGGUUUGUUUGAGCUGCUCUUAAAAGAUGAAGGCCUCUAGGCAGCCAUAAAGAAAAGGCUGGAGGCAGGAAACAAAGAAGCACAAACAAGCUGAGAUACAAAGAACGUGCUGGGUCAUGGGACGGGAUCACAGUUCGCUGAGACUGUGCUAUUACUGUGUACUGAGGCAGAGGGUUUUGAGGAUGACAGAAGCUGUGUAGAGAGGGACUGAAACUUGUUUAUCUCUGUGCUGUGAAUACAGUGCCUGCAAACAUGGAGGCCUUAGAACAUGUCUGUGGCAUGAAUGGAGUGUAAUACAUCACAUACCCAAGGCUCCCAGCCUCACCCAGGAUGGUAUAGGCAACAGUAAAUACCUACCAACUGGGGCUUCCCUUGUAGCUCAGCUGAUAAAGAAUCUACCUGCAAAGCAGGAGACCCCAGUUCAAUUCCUGGGUCAGGAAGAUCCCCUGGAGAAGGGGUAGGCUACCCACUCCAGUAUUCUUGGACUUCCCUGGUGGCUCAGAUGCCUGCAUGCGGGAGACCUGGGUUCAGUCUCUGGGCUGGGAAGAUCCCCUGGAGGAGGGCAUGGCAACCCUUAUUCUUGCCUAGAGAAUCCCCAUGAACAGAGGAGCCUGGGAGGCUACAGUCCAUAGUGUCUCAAAGAGUCAGACUCGACUGAGAACAGCAUAGAGGAGUUAUUAACAAUAAGAAAGCACCAAGUCUACAGCUUCAGCAAGCAGAGGUGUAGUCUUCCAGAUAAAAUUUCUAAAGUCACAAAAGGCAGUAUUUGACCCUGUUGUCACAGGUCUCAAAACACUGUUUUUAUUAACAACGCUUAAAACUGAUGGUCAGCGCUAUACCCGCACUUGCCUAAAUACCGUUCCUACUGAUGAGCUACCCUGUGGAUGAAACCAGCCAAGUUUUAUGCCCAUUUGUUUCCUUGUAUGGACUGCGGAGACCAGUUUUCAUUUGAAGGGAACAUCAAGUUCAAAAUAAAUAAAUCUAUAUUUUAAAAAAUAAUAAUAAAAAUAAAACUUAAAAAAAAAACAGAAAACAAAGUUAUCUUUGGAAAUGAAUCCUAAGUGCUUGAGUUAAAUGGUUAUAGCUUCUAAUUUGGUAAAAAACAGAAACAUGAUCAAUGUAAUUUUUUUUUUCUAAAUAUUCAGUGCAUUUUCUCAGAGACUGGCAUUCAGGACACAGUUUGUGUUUUAGACCCCCAGUUUAAUUUGCAUUUGAAAAGAAAACAGCAUGUCCUAAACCAAGGUCAGUUAAUCUCUGCAAUCUUUCUUCCUUCCAAUUACUGUGAAUGAGCAUCUUCUCAGGACACAAGCGAUGAUGACUCUGGUUUCUGCUACUAAAGACAUGUCUCAGCUCUGCAGAUUUUUUUUUUUUUUUUUUGGCUGUACAAUGGAAUUCGGAUGCAUUUUAAAUUAACUUUCUCUAGGAAUCAAAGAGUAACCUCUGGAGACCCCAGCUUGCUCAAAGAGGAUUGAGAAGAUCGCUCCAAAGCCUCUUCUUGUUGAGCUGAUCCAAGCAUUUAGAGGACAUAACAGAAGUCAGCCAUCCCAUUCUCUGUGAAAAGUCCGACCACAGUGGAGCAUCUGCAGUGGCAUUGAGUCAGGCAACUGGCCGAGGCAAGUAUUUG